GACGAACGCUGGCGGCGUGCUUAACACAUGCCAGUCGAACGGAAAGGCCCUGCUUUCGUGUGGUUCUCGAGUGGCGAACGUGUGAGUAACACGUGAGUAAGCUGCCCUGGACUUUGUGAUAUCUGCAGGAAACUGGUGCUAAUACCGGAGAGCUGCUCCUGCUGCAUGGUGGUGGUCGGAAAUUUUCGGCGGUUGGGGAUGGACUCGCGGCUUAUCAGCUUGUGGGUUGGGUAGUGGCGUACCAAGGCUUUGACGGGUGGCCGGCCUGAGAGGGUGACCGGCGACAUUGGGACUGAGAUACGGCCCAGACUCCUACGGGAGGCAGCAGUGGGGAAUAUUGCACAAUGGGCGGAAGCCUGAUGCAGCAACGCCGCGUGCGGGAUGACGGCCUUCGGGUUGUAAACCGCUUUCGCCUGUGACGAAGCGUGAGUGACGGUAAUGGGUAAAGAAGCACCGGCUAACUACGUG
rnacentral:rRNA from 1 species